AAGCUCGUAGUUGGAUUUCUGCUGGAAGCAGCCAGUCCGCCCUCAGGGGUGUGCACUUGGUGAAUUCUAGCAUCCUUCUGGAUUUCUCCACACUUCAUUGUGUGGAGUUUUUUCCAGGACUUUUACUUUGAGAAAAUUAGAGUGUUUCAAGCAGGCUUGUCGCCUUGAAUACUGCAGCAUGGAAUAAUAAGAUAGGAUUUCGGCCCUAUUUUGUUGGUUUCUAGGACUGAAGUAAUGAUUAAUAGGGACGGUUGGGGGCAUUCGUAUUUAACUGUCAGAGGUGAAAUUCUUAGAUUUGUUAAAGACGAACUACUGCGAAAGCAUUUGCCAAAGAUGUUUUCAUUAAUCAAGAACGAAAGUUAGGGGCUCGAAGACGAUCAGAURCCGUCGUAGUCUUAACCAURAACUAUGCCGACUAGAGAUAGGAAAACGUCAUGCUUGACUUCUCCUGCAC
rnacentral:rRNA from 1 species